rnacentral:rRNA from 1 species
GUACACUCCUACGGGAGGCAGCAGUGGGGAAUAUUGGACAAUGGGCGCAAGCCUGAUCCAGCCAUGCCGCGUGAGUGAUGAAGGCCCUAGGGUUGUAAAGCUCUUUCACCGGUGAAGAUAAUGACGGUAACCGGAGAAGAAGCCCCGGCUAACUUCGUGCCAGCAGCCGCGGUAAUACGAAGGGGACUAGCGUUGUUCGGAUUUACUGGGCGUAAAGCGCACGUAGGCGGACUAUUAAGUCAGGGGUGAAAUCCCGGGGCUCAACCCCGGAACUGCCUUUGAUACUGGUAGUCUUGAGUUCGAGAGAGGUGAGUGGAAUUCCGAGUGUAGAGGUGAAAUUCGUAGAUAUUCGGAGGAACACCAGUGGCGAAGGCGGCUCACUGGCUCGAUACUGACGCUGAGGUGCGAAAGCGUGGGGAGCAAACAGGAUUAGAUACCCCAGUAGUCCC